UACAGAGGGGGCAAGCGUUGUUCGGAAUUACUGGGCGUAAAGGGCGCGUAGGCGGCCUUCUAAGUCAGACGUGAAAUCCCCGGGCUCAACCCGGGAACUGCGUCUGAUACUGGAAGGCUUGAAUCCGGGAGAGGGAUGUGGAAUUCCAGGUGUAGCGGUGAAAUGCGUAGAUAUCUGGAGGAACACCGGUGGCGAAGGCGGCAUCCUGGACCGGUAUUGACGCUGAGGCGCGAAAGCCAGGGGAGCAAAGCGGG
rnacentral:rRNA from 1 species